GGGGAUGAGUUGUGAGGAAGAAAGGUUGUGAAGAAGAGGGGGGGACGUGUGCUAUCAACAAAAAAGUGGUGGGGGUUAGGGAAGUUUACACGUUUCAUUGCUGGUAGCUAGUUUUUAAUUUUUUUUUUACUUUUUUUAUAUUUCUUAAAUUAAGGUUAAAAAGGUAAUUUGCUAAUUUAUUUUUUUUUUUGGGUAAAAAUUUGUUAAUUUAAUCUUAAGUUAUAUAUUGUCUAUCAAACAAAAAAAAUAGAUAUCUCAAGGAUUCUAUCUUAACUAUCAAACACCUAUAAAAUAUUAACAAUCUCACUCAAUCUAUAUUAUUUAUCUAAGUUUUAUUUAGCAUCCCUUAUCUCAUGUCAGCUAUCAAACACACCCUAAAGUUACUUCAGUAUCAGUCUACAACCCCCUUUCAACUGAAGUUUUCUUUAACUGCUCACUCCCGUCAAUCUUUUAGUAUCAGUCGAUACUCCUUCAAUUUUUAUGAAAGAAUUUUAAAAAAUAGCAUACAGGUGCAUUCCUCCCCCAUACAACUAUUUAGUGAUUUAAGAAAAAAAAAUUAAAAAAUAGCCUACAUGUGUAUUCCUCUCCCAUACACCUAUUCAGUGACCCUCCGGGACCCAACAACUUUUAUUUCAAUUUAAAUUUAAAUAAAUUCUGGAAAAAAAAAAGAAGAAGUAAAAAACACGUGAUGUACAUGUAAAAGGUGAAAUGCAGUGCAUUACAUAAAAGCAAAACAAAAAUUUAGC
rnacentral:lncRNA from 1 species